rnacentral:ncRNA from 1 species
GAUUAGUAAUGUGCAGAAUAGGCGGGAGACUGUGAACCUAGGGCGCCAGCUUUAGCGGAGUCAAAAAUAAGAUACCGUCCUUAUUAAUC